rnacentral:rRNA from 1 species
GAGUCACUCCCGCAGGGGUGGCGCACGNNUNNGUAACACGUAGUCAACCUACCCUAGGGACGGGGAUAACCUCGGGAAACUGAGGCUAAACCCCGAUAGGCUAUAACUUCUGGAAUGGGUUAUAGCUGAAAUCUAUAUGGCCCUAGGAUGGGACUGCGGCCGAUCAGGUUGUUGGUGGGGUAAUGGCCCACCAAGCCUAUAACCGGUGCGGGCUCUGAGAGGAGGAGCCCGGAGAUGGGCACUGAGACAAGGGCCCAGGUCCUAUGGGGCGCAGCAGGCGCGAAACCUCCGCAAUGGGCGAAAGCCCGACGGGGUUAGUCCGAGUGACUCUUGCUGAAGGAGUCUUUUGCCAGCUGUAAAAAAGCUGGAGAAUAAGGGGUGGGCAAGUUUGGUGUCAGCCGCCGCGGUAAUACCAGCACCCCGAGUGGUCGGGACGAUUAUUGGGCCUAAAGCAUCCGUAGCCGGUCUAACAAGUCCUCCGUUAAAUCCAACGGCUCAACCGUUGGGCUGCGAGGGAUACUGUUAGACUAGGGGGCGGGAGAGGCGAAGGGUAUUCCCAGGGUAGGGGUAAAAUCCACUGAUCCNNGGAGGACCACCAGUGGCGAAGGCGUCUCGCUAGAACGCNNNNGACGGUGAGGGAUGAAAGCUAGGNNAGCGAACCGGAUUAGAUACCCGGGUAGUCNU